rnacentral:rRNA from 1 species
ACGCUCGACACCUACGGGGGCAGCAGUGAGGAAUAUUGGUCAAUGGACGCAAGUCUGAACCAGCCAUGCCGCGUGCAGGAUGACGGCUCUAUGAGUUGUAAACUGCUUUUGUACGAGGGUAAACGCAGAUACGUGUAUCUGUCUGAAAGUAUCGUACGAAUAAGGAUCGGCUAACUCCGUGCCAGUAGCCGCGGUAAUCUGAGCGGGCUGGCAAGGC